CGGCUCACAAGACUCGAUGGUAGCUGUCUGAGAGAAUGAUCAGUCACACUGGCACUGAGACACGGGCCAGAUUCCUACGGAAGGCAGCAGUGGGAAUUUUGCGCAAUGGGCGAAAGCCUCACUCAGUAACGCCGCGUGGAGGACGAAGGCCUUCGGGUUGUAAACUCCUGUCAGGGGGAAAGAAGGGCUUGAGGCUAGAAUACAUCCUCGAGUUCUGCGGUACCCCCAAAGGAAGCCCCGGCUAAUUCCGUGCCAGCAGCCGCGGUAAUACGGAAGGGGCGAGCGUUGUUCGGAAUCAUUGGGCGUAAAGGGCGCGUAGGUGGUCUUAUGUGUCUGUCGUGAAAGUGCACGGCUCAACCGUGUUUGGUCGGCGGAAACUGUAAGACUUGAGGCUGGGAGGGGCUGGAGGAAUUCCCUGUGUAGCGGUGAAAUGCGUAGAGAUAGGGGAGAACACUCGUGGCGAAGGCGUCCAGCUGGACCAGUCCUGACACUGAGGCGCGAAAGCGUGGGUAGCAAACAGGAUUAGAUACCCUGGUAGUC
rnacentral:rRNA from 1 species